AGCACUAAUAGUGUAUACGAAUUUUGUUGCAGUUAAAAAGCUCGUAGUUGAAUUUUUUUUAUAACACCAAAGCAAUACAAGCAAAUUGAUUUGUUCAGUUUGUUUGUGCUUUUGUGUGUAAAAUUAUAAAAUUUAUAAUUAAUUUUGUAAAUUUUAAAAUUACUUUGAAUAAAUUAGAGUGUUUAAAGCAAACAAUAAUACAAUUUUUAAGUAUUUUUUUAAAGUUUGAAUAUAUUAGCAUGGGAUAAUGGAAGAGGACAUAUAUUGAUAUGUUGAAAAUUGGAAAAUAGGUUUAAUCUAUAUAUGUAAUGAUGGAUAGGAACGGUCGGGGGCAUUUGUACUGAAGUGUAAGAGGUGAAAUUCAUGGACUACUUCAAGACAAACAUCAGCGAAAGCAUUUGCCAAGGACGUGUCCAUUA
rnacentral:rRNA from 1 species